UACGUAGGGUGCAAGCGUUAAUCGGAAUUACUGGGCGUAAAGCGUGCGCAGGCGGUUUUGUGAGACAGGCGUGAAAUCCCCCGGCUCAACAUGGGAAUUGCGCUUGUGACUGCAAAGCUGGAGUGCGGCAGAGGGGGAUGGAAUUCCACUUGUAGCAGUGAAAUGCGUAGAUAUGCGGAGGAACACCGAUGGCGAAGGCAAUCCCCUGGGCCUGCACUGACUCUCAUGCACGAAAGCGUGGGGAGCAAACAGG
rnacentral:rRNA from 1 species